AAACUAAAAAAAGAAGAAGUGAAGCAGCCAAAAAUAGUAUAAGUGACAAGCCUUGCCUCUGAUACUUCUUGACAUAAUGUAGGUAAUUGCGACGAACGAUGAUGGUUCUGUUCAUCUUAGCACUGUGGCAUGUACCAGCAAGGAUACGACCUCGGAUAGAAACAUUUCCAGUGAAUGGGCAUUUCUUGUCAAUAUAUGUACCUAAAUUUAAAUAUGCCAAACUCAAGGUUAGACCACAGAACAAGGUGAAAUCAAGGAAAUCCAUAAAAUAAUCAAAUGAUAUCUGGCGCAGGAGAUAUAAAAGAUGACUUGAAAUCUUGUUCUUAAAGUCAGUCUUAACUAUCUAACGUCUAGAAAACAUCAUUGCUAACAAGCAACAUGUUCCACAUAAAGGUCACACAAAUAGCAAUUUAAGAAGCAUCUUUUAUUUACUAUUACUUAAAUGUAAGUAAAUGCAGUCUCUUGGAAUGCCCACACAAGAAAUUUACCGCGUGCUAUUGAAGUAGGAAACAAAAAGGAAUAAAUAAGCUCAAAUCCAAUCCACUGCUGUUUUCCUCCGAAAUUAUACCAUUUUGAUUCAGUACUUUUUCGAUAUAUUAAGGUCAGCCACUUCACAACCAUAUAAUAUUGAGACCCAGCUACACCAAAUGACAGUAAUUGAAGGGUUUUAUCCACAGUAUCAUAUCCUAUGUAAGCUCUACAAAUGUAAACAAAUGCUAGUGAAGAACUUUGGCUUAAUAAAAAAUUCUGUAGAAGAUUUAAAAGAAAAUCAAGAGAAAGCCACAUAACUGGUCAAAGCAAGACAGUACCUUAACACAGAUGGAUAACUUUCACCCCACGUCAUCUUAAUAACCCGAGUCCCCAGCUAAUAAGAAGUUCUACAACAAGUAUAUCGUGUUUCCCUUAUGUACUCAAAUUGCAUUAAACCAUAUUUCAUGCAAUUCAGACGCAUGGCAAAUAACUUCAUUAUAGAAAGAAACAUCUACCAAAUUGAAACUACAAUGGAAACUUAAUAGAAAGAUUUACCUAGUGUCAACCACAUUGAAAAAAACUUUAACUUUUUUUUGAGAUAAGGGUAACUAUGAAAAAAGCUUUAACUUCUUACUAUGAAGAUUUACCAAAUGCCAACUAAGUUGCAGAAGUAAGUUUUUGGCCAUUUACAGCAAGGAGACCCAUUGCUUAAGGCGUGAACAAUAUGUACAUCGGCCUUAAUCCUAAACUAGUUGGCACUCAAUACACAAUAUAGAAAGAAAAGAAGCUACUUUGCAUAGAUCAAAAGUGGAAAUUGAAAACUAGUCUUAUAAACUUUGUGUUCGGCUUCACUCAGAUCAUAAUAACAUAUACAACAAAACUAUAUUCACUAUGCUAAUAUCUAAAAUAUAAAUCAACAAUGCAGAAAGAAAUGAAAUACAGUAAUUGUUUAAUUAGAGGAAACUAGUUGGCACUCAAUACAUCAAGACAGCAUGGAAAGAAAAGAAGCUAAUUUGCAUAGAUCAAAGGUGGAAAUCGAAAACUAGUCUUAUAUAAUUUUACGAGAACAAAUGAAAUAGAAUUAAACAAAAUGAAUAUGUACCUUCAGUAGCCUCACGAGGAGUCUUGAAUCCUAAACCAAUACUCUUAAAGUAUCGAUUGCCUCCCUUUCCUGGCCUCUUUCCCUUCCCCGUCUUCUUAGAGCUGCCGAGAUCAAAUAAAAAAAAAACAAAACGCAAAUCUUAGGCUCAAAUUCCUUCAACUUAACAGUAAAUGCAUAUAGCAUUUGUCAGAUGCUCACCUUAGAAAAACACCUGGCUGCUUCAAAAACGCCUUCUCUGUCUGCAGCACAAAGUAAAUUCAUUAGAUUUUCUCUAUAAUAGAUAAUAAUGUACAUGGAAGAUGAGAUAGAGAUAGAUAGACGGACCUGCUCCGCCAUGACUGAGGAUUACCAAGACGCAAAACUCAACGAGGAUAGCUUAUCGGUAAUAAAAACCCUAGUUUACAGGCUGCAGCAAAGAAUGAAGACUUAGAGAAGCUUAUGUCUUCUAUUGGGUUAGAUACUGCGGACUGGACUUGCAAAUUGGGCCAACUUACGGAUGGGCUUAAAAUCCAACUAAAUAUAUCUAAAGUUAAACAUGACUCAAGUUCAGAUAAAAAUGUCCAAAGUUUAAAUAAAAUAAUUUAAUUUUUCACUCAUAUAAAAUUUUAAACAUAGAUGUUCCAAAACUCAAUGACAUAGCUUAAAUAGUGGUUCAAAAAAUAGCUAUGUGUGCAUUUCAAGACACUAAAAUUGAGGGGUGAUAAUGUUCACACUUUGGUAUGACAUGGUUAGUUCUAUAGUAUAAUUAUGGUCGAACCUUUCUAUUUUAGCCAUUUGAUCAUGUUUUGAUUUUUUAUCACAAAUAUAAUAGAGCAAAUCUAUUUACAUGAAAGAUGGAAAUAGGAGAGUUACACAGUGAGGAAUCAAAAUAAGCAUCGAAUUAUGCUUCCGACUGACCAACCAUUUCUUGAUGCUGGUUAUUUAUAAAAAAAAUUGUUGGUUGUAUUCAAAAUGCACUGUUCAUGCCAUUUGCAAAAUUUACACAAUGAUGUGUAGUAAGUUGUAAAUUGUUAGCAUCCUACCUUUUGCAGACAGAAUUGCCUCAAAAAUAAAUUAGAAAUUACAUUUCAGUUUGCAUUAUAUAAAUAAUGUUAAGUUGGUUUAGUCUUAAAUUGUCUUUUUUUAGUUAAAAUCAGGGAUAAGGGUUUGAAAAAUAUCCCAACUUUGGUCGGAUUUGCUGUUGCGAUACUAAACUUUCAUAAGGACUUAUUACCUCCCUAGACUAUUUAAUACCGUAUUUUAAACAUAUAUAUUUGUCCAUGUGGACAUAAAAAAUAAUGAAAAAUUAUAAAUAAUAAUGUGUUCACAUGAGCACAUAUAUACCUUUAAAAUACACUAUUAAAUAGUUCAGGGGGUAAAAAAUACGGUAUUAAAUAGUCUAGGGAGGUAAUAAGUCCUUAUGAAAGUUUAGUAUCGCAACAGCAAAUCCGACCAAAGUUGGGGUAUUUUUCAAACCCUUAUCCCUUAAAAUCAAAUCAAACUUAAGCAUAGUUGUUUUUUUACCCACAAUAUCAAAGCAAGUCAAACCAAAUCACUAGUCAGAUUUUUUUUUUACAAUUUGUGAUUUGGUUCGACUUUGUACUCCUAAUCAAAAGUUUAUAGAUCUGUAAUUUUUUAUGCACGACAUAAUUGUAGUCAAACAUCUCUAUAACAGUCUCUCAAUAUAGGUUUGCUGAAUUAGCUUCAAUUUGUAGAUUAAUUCGUUAGCAUGAUUUGUUAUUUGCAUACAAAAAAAAACAACAGAAAUAUAGCUUCUACUAUGUUUUCUUACUGAAAGAAUAGAGAUGAAUCAUUGUGCUUGUGGUGUUGAUACACAAUGUAAUAUUUGAUUCCAUAAAUUAACUAUGUGAACGAAGAAAUGUCUCUUCUGAUUGCAGCCUUGGCUAAGCCUCGUCUCUCUCUUGCUUUGGCAAUUACCAUCCAUAACAAUAACGUCCCAACUGUAAUUCCAUAAGCUACAAAGAAUGGAGUGUCCACAAAUACUUAACCCUACCAUUAGAGGUAGAGAUAUCAUUUCCAAAAACGAUACAUCGCAUUCCUCGACUAAAUUUAACUUGGUAUGUUCUGUUCGUAUUCAAAUGCUUGAUAGCUUCUUGUUUCAGUGGUACUCAGGAUAACCCAAGUUAAAAUCUUGAUUUUAUCCAGUUAGUAAGACUAGAAUACCGCUGCUAUUUCAAGAAAACAAACUUGCUAGCAUAUUAAGUUUCAAAAUUUGAAGAUAACUCAGUAGAAGCAGAAAAGUUUUGACAUCAUAUUCCUACAAAAAAAACAAAUUUUGAAAUGGAGGAAUGAAGAUUACAUCCCGGUAAAAGCUUUUUUCCCUCCACCACCAGAACCAGCUGGAAUCACCUUUAAGACAUUGAACCUCACGGUUUUGGAUAAAGGCCUGUAAAGCAUAAAAUGUUAUCACCUACAGUAACAACAAAUAAUGAAAAAAAACUACAGAAAAAUCAAAAUAAGAUGGUCCUAACCUGCACUGUCCAAUAGUAACAUGAUCUCCCUCUUUCACACGGAAGCAUGGUGAUAUGUGAGCUGGGAUAUUUGAGUGCCUCUUCUCGUAUCUGAAAUAACUUGCGUGUUAAAACUAACAAAAGAAGAAGUGAAGCAGCCAAAAAUAGUACAAGUGACAAGUCUUGCCUCUGAUACUUCUUGACAUAAUGUAGGUAAUUGCGUCGAACAAUGAUGGUUCUAUUCAUCUUAGCACUGUGGCAUGUACCAGCAAGGAUACGACCUCGGAUAGAAACAUUGCCAGUGAAUGGACAUUUCUUGUCAAUGUAUGUACCUAAAUUUAAAUAGGCCAAACACCAGGUUAGACUACAGAACACGGUGAAAUCAAGGAAAUUCAUGAAAUAAUCAAAUAUUAUAGCUAUGGAAAUCUUUGUUCUUAAAGUCACUCUUCACUAUCCAACACCUAGAAAAUAUUAUAGCUAGCAAGCAACAUGUCCACAUAAAGGUCACACAAAUAGCUAUUUGUGAAGUAUCUUUUAUUUACUAUUACUUAAAUGUAAGUAAAUGCAGUAUCUUGGAAUGCCCACAUAAGAAAUUUACUGUGUGCUAUUGAUCUUAGUCUAGUCAGGUUGAAAUAGGAAACAAAAAGGAAUAAAUAAGCUCAAAUCCAAUCCACUGCUGUUUUCAUCCGAAAAUACACUGUUUUGAUUCAGUACUUUCAAAUAUACUAAGGUCAUAUACUAUUGAGAUCUAUACCUAUCACCAAAGGACAGUAAUGUGAAAGUUUAAUUCACAGUAUGAUAUCCUAUGUAAGCUCCAUAACUGUAAACAAAUGCUAGGGGUGUGAAGGUUUUUAUUCUAUUUGACAAUUGGGACAGCUAAAGUCCUCUUAGUAAAAAAGUUUCAACUUGGCCCGUAAUCCCAGAAACAUAGUUCUGUCAAACAUUUAAUAUUUGGAGAACCGGUAUCCGGUUUAUGUUGAAACAAAGGCAGAAUUAAGAGCUUCAAGAGAAGCAGCUAAGGAGAAGAACAGAAGUGCAUCAAUCCUAAAAGUUUUGGUCUUGUCAGAAAUUCUGUAGAAGAUUUAAAAGAAAAGCAAGACAGCACCUUAACACAGAUGGAUAACUUGCCCCCAUGUCAUCUUAAUAACCCAACAAGAAUAUCGUGUUUCCCCAUAUGUGCUCAAAUUGCAUUAAACCAUAUUUCAUGCAAUUCAGACGUAUGUCAAAUAACUUCAUAAUAGAAAGAAAGAUUAACUAAAUUGAAACUACAAUGGAAAAACUGCAACUUAAUAAAAAGAUUUACCAAGUGCCAAACACAUUGCGAAAAACUUUUAACUUAUUACUAUGAAGAUUUACCAAAUGUCAACUAAGUUGCAGUAACGUAAUAGUUUUUGGCCAUUUGCAGCAAGGAGGCCCAUUGCUUAAGGCGUGAACGUACAUUGACCUUAAUCCUAAACUAGUUGGCACUCAAUACAUCAAGACAGCAUGGAAAGAAAAGAAGCUAAUUUGCAUAGAUCAAAGGUGGAAAUCGAAAACUAGUCUUAUAUAAUUUUACGAGAACAAAUGAAAUAGAAUUAAACAAAAUGAAUAUGUACCUUCAGUAGCCUCACGAGGAGUCUUGAAUCCUAAACCGAUACUCUUGAAGUAUCG
rnacentral:lncRNA from 1 species